AUUUAGUAGGCUUAUUCGCGAAAAUCAAAAAGAACAAAAAAUAUUUGCUAUUUUUAGAAUAUAAGUUAUGUUUUAAUUUGCAACAAAAGAAAGAAAAUUUCCCAAAAAAUAUGUUUUCUUAGUUUCUAAAGUUCUCACAACUUUUGAGUUUUAUAUAAUAGUUUUAAGCUACUGUAAUAGUGUUAUUUAGUUGGGAGAAUUAUUUUCUUGUCAUUUUGAUUUCGUUUCAAUAUUUUGGGUGAUAUUUUAUUUCAUUAAAUUAGUUAGUAUAUUUUAUUUUAGUUUAAGUUUUCUUUUAGAUAAUUCAAGAAAUAUCUCAUUACUUUUGUCUUUUUCCCUAACCAACACACACAUGAUACCACUCCCAUUUUGACACCUCACCUAGAAUAAUUCUUGUUCACCACUCCACUCUUCCACAAAAAUAUACCACCUCACCACAAAAUGACAAAAGUUAUAACAAAUUUUAUCACAAAAAUGGGGAGGAACACGUGAUAGGGGGUAUUAUUGUUGGGCGUGGGACCCGCCAAAAAAAAAAAAGAAAAAUGAAAAAGAUUAGGAAGGGAAUUUUAUUUUGUGGACCCCAUAAUUUAGCACAUGCACAUAAAAAAGAUCAAAUCACAUAUGAGGGAAAAGGAAUGAUUUUAUAAAGGAAGUAAGGAUCAUUUUGGAUAUGAAAAAUAAAGAGAGGGACCCAAAAAUCUUUUCAUCACUUUACACCCUACAUAUAUAUAUUAUAUAUAAUGGAGGAACCAAUAGCCUAGAUCAUUCAGCCGUCACUUCCAUAACAAAAAACACCUAAUACCCUACGGAAAAAAUUUAAAAAAAAAACAGCCGCCCCAUAUAAAAAAUGACUCAAAUAUUUUCAUAGUUCUAGGCUAUGCUAAGUGGAAGACGCCCCUUUUCUAUUUCUCUACUGGGUUUGAAGAUAACAAGUUUCGAAUCUGAGAUCACCAGCAAGGUUUUAGUCCAAGUUUCGAUCAAAAGUCGGGUCUCUUCGACUUUGUUUUUUUUUUUUUAAUUUUUCUUCACCUUCUAGCAGAAUACCAAGUGCGAUCAACUUCUACUCCUCGUGGAUGACCUUCGAGGUUGAUGAUUCGAGUCUUCCAAGGUGCGCACGAGGAUGUUCGCUGCCAGAAUACUCUUCCUUUAUUAUGUCUUUAUUUCCAUCCCGAGACAUGAUUUUUACACAAUUGAUGUAUUACUAUCAUUCAGACUUGUGGUAUUUAGUUAGUUGUUGUUGUAUGAUCAGAUCAGAUUUUCAGGUGGA